UACAGAGGUCCCAAGCGUUGUUCGGAUUCACUGGGCGUAAAGGGCGCGUAGGCGGUCGGGCAAGUCUGAUGUGAAAUCUCACAGCUCAACUGUGAAACUGCAUUGGAUACUAUUCGGCUUGAGGUCUGGAGGGGGGACUGGAAUUCUCGGUGUAGCAGUGAAAUGCGUAGAUAUCGAGAGGAACACCAGUGGCGAAGGCGAGUCCCUGGACAACACCUGACACUGAGGCACGAAAGCUAGGGGAGCAAACAGG
rnacentral:rRNA from 1 species